CUCACAGAGCUCUUUUCCAGGAAGAGGACAUGUAGGGCUGGCUGACUUCUUCCUGUACAGUCUGCUGGGACAAGGCCCAAAGGCAUUGCAUCUUUCUACUCUUAAAGAAUCUUCCUAGGGCUUCAGGUUUAUUAAAGGCCAUCCUGCAGUAGGGGAGAGAGUCAAACAUCACCAUUUCCCAUGGAUUUGGACUCCAGCUUCCUGGGACACCAAGACAACUGGAUGAGCUACGUGUUGGUAAAUGGAGGUUUGGAAAGCCACCUUCCUUCCUCGUCCUCCAAUACCACUGAUCCUGCAACACACAAGAGGGCUCCAUCUGAUGUGACAAGAAACACAUCCUUUAAUAAGAAAAGUCAUGUGCUGAGGUUGCUGAGGUCAAUAGAAUGAAUCUUCUCUCUGUGAAAUUGUAAAGAAGGAAAACAACUAUGCAUUAGUUUUGCUAUCGCACCUCAAACUUGGCAAAAGUUAAUGGCCAUGAUCUGUUAAGAUGAAAAAGGCAUUAAACUGUAAGGUUCAGUACUUUCGGUGGUUUUGGGCAUUCACUGGGGAUCUUGUACUUGUCCACUGAAUUGAAGGGCCCUUACCAUAUCACAGACCGGCACCUUAACCAGCAAAC
rnacentral:lncRNA from 1 species